rnacentral:rRNA from 1 species
CCUACGGGUGGUAGCAGUGAGGAAUAUUGGUCAAUGGACGAGAGUCUGAACCAGCCAAGUAGCGUGAAGGAUGACUGCCCUAUGGGUUGUAAACUUCUUUUAUAUGGGAAUAAAAUGUUCCACGUGUGGGAUUUUGUAUGUACCAUAUGAAUAAGGAUCGGCUAACUCCGUGCCAGCAGCCGCGGUAAUACGGAGGAUGCGAGCGUUAUCCGGAUUUAUUGGGUUUAAAGGGUGCGUAGGCGUGCCUUCAGGCCGGCGGUAAAAUUGCGGGGCUCAACCCCGCCGAGCCGUCGGAACCGGGUGCCUUGAGUACCGGAGAAGUACGCGGAAUGCGUGGUGUAGCGGUGAAAUGCAUAGAUAUCACGCAGAACCCCGAUUGCGAAGGCAGCGUACCGGCCGGUCACUGACGCUGAGGCACGAAAGCGCGGGUAUCGAACAGGAUUAGAUACCCGAGUAGUC